rnacentral:rRNA from 1 species
GACGAACGCUGGCGGCGUGCUUAACACAUGCAAGUCGAACGGAAAGGCCCUGCUUUUGUGGGGUGCUCGAGUGGCGAACGGGUGAGUAACACGUGAGUAACCUGCCCUUGACUUUGGGAUAACUUCAGGAAACUGGGGCUAAUACCGGAUAGGAGCUCCUGCUGCAUGGUGGGGGUUGGAAAGUUUCGGCGGUUGGGGAUGGACUCGCGGCUUAUCAGCUUGUUGGUGGGGUAGUGGCUUACCAAGGCUUUGACGGGUAGCCGGCCUGAGAGGGUGACCGGCAACAUUGGGACUGAGAGACGGCACAGACUCCUACGGGAGGAAGCAGUGGGGAAUAUUGCACAAUGGGCGGAAGCCUGAUGCAGCAAAGCCGCGUGCGGGAUGACGGCCUUCGGGUUGAAAACCGCUUUCGAAUGUGACGAAGCGUGAGUGACGGUAAUGGGUAAAGAAGCACCGGCUAACUACGUG